AUCUUCUACUAAAACAAGAAAAUUCAAAAAAAAGAGGUCAGUUGGUAUCCUCGAACUUUGUCCCCAGCCAGUCAGCGUUAGGGUUUUAAACCCUAAACUGAACUCUUUCCAUUUAGUCAGCAUUAGGGUUUUAAACCCUAAACUGAACUUUUCCUUUAGUCGGCAUUAGGGUUUUUAAACUUUAAACUGAACUUUUCCAUUCAAUCAGCAUUAGGGUUUUAAACCCUAAACUGAACUCUUUCCUUUAGUCAGCAUUAGGGUUUUAAACCCUAAACUAAACUCUUUCCUUUAGUCAGCAUUAGGGUUUUAAACCCUAAACUGAACUUUUCCUUUAGUCAGCAUUAGGGUUUUAAACCCUAAACUGAACUUUUCCAUUUAGUCAGCAUUAGGGUUUUAAACCCUAAAUUGAACCUUUUCAUUUAGUCAGCAUUAGGGUUUUAAACCCUAAACUGAACUUUUUCCUUUAGUCAGCAUUAGGGUUUUAAACCCUAAACUGAACUUUUUCCUUUAGUCAGCAUUAGGGUUUUAAACCCUAAACUGAACUUUUCCAUUUAGUCAGCAUUAGGGUUUUAAACCCUAAACUGAACUU
rnacentral:lncRNA from 1 species